rnacentral:rRNA from 1 species
UACGUAGGUGGCAAGCGUUGUCCGGAUUUACUGGGCGUAAAGGGAGCGUAGGCGGUUUUUUAAGUGGGAUGUGAAAUCCCCGGGCUUAACCCGGGAACCGCAUUUCAAACUGGAAGACUAGAGUGCAGGAGAGGAAAGUGGAAUUCCAAGUGUAGCGGUGAAAUGCGUAGAGAUUUGGAGGAACGCCAGUGGCGAAGGCGACUUUCUGGACUGUAACUGACGCGGAGGCUCGAGAGCGUGGGGAGCAAACAGG